GCCAGGCACAGUGGCGUGUGCCUGUAGUCCCAGCUACUCGGGAGGCUGAGACAGGAGAAUUGCUUGAACCCAGGAGGCAGAGGUUGCAGUGAGCCAAGAUCAUGCCACUGCACUCCAGCCUGGGCAACAGAGCAAGACUCCGCCUCAA
rnacentral:SRP_RNA from 1 species